CAUUGAAUCACUGGUCCCCAUACGAUCACUGAAGUUAAGCAACAUUGGGCCUGAUCAGUACCUGGAUGAAUGACUGCUUAGGAAUAUCAGGUGCUGUAAG